GUAACCCCCCCGCCUGCUUCGGGUAACCCCCCCGCCUGCGUCGAGAUAUCCUGCCUACUGUCACGCCUGAUCCAGCAGCUGGUUGAAGUGGGAUGCGUCUUGUGAGCCCUGUCUGCCGGUUCUCUUUGUCCAAGUCUAGUCUGCGAGGUCGCUUAACAAGCUCUUUAGAUUUGUUUAAAGAGGUGGACAUGAUUGGUGUGGACGGAAAGCAAGAUGAUCAAAAGCGAUGAUUUUAUUUUAUUUUAUUAUUCUUUUGUUUUGUUUUUUUCUUUCCUUUUUUUGUGUGUCUGUGUGAAAUUUAAGCACAAGCAGCAUUGUCCUAAGUAAUGAGUGAAUCAUUGAUUUCUCGGCCUUUUGGCAAGUUCAGCUGUUUUAAUGAAGUUCAAAAUAGGAACUUUAAUCUAAGCUGAUUAUUUUGAACUCUCUUUCCUAAAGGAAGGUCCUUUUAACAGAUUUAAACCAAAACCGACAAAAUACAGUCCAGAACCUGCACUCUUGGACUUGUGUGUGUGCCAUUGGACUUUUGAUUCUGAAUUAUUUUAUUUUUGUGCCUUUUCAGAUUCCUGAAUAUGUGUGUGUGUUAAAAUUGCAGGUUUUUUUUCUGUAGAUUGUGACUGUUUUAGGCACUUUUUGUACCAUUUGUUUAAUUUAAAAGAAAAAUUUAAUCAGUAUUUAAUUAGUAACUUAAGUUCCCAGUGUUAUGCUGGUUUUGUUAUUUACUGUAAGAUGACUUGUGAUUUUAAAUAAUUACUAAUAAACUGUCUAACUGUU